rnacentral:rRNA from 1 species
UACGAGGGGGGCAAGCGUUGUUCGGAAUUAUUGGGCGUAAAGGGCGCGUAGGCGGUGCUCUAAGUCGGAUGUGAAAACUCUGGGCUCAACCCAGAGCCUGCAUCCGAAACUGGAGUGCUAGAGUUCUGGAGGGGGUAGCGGAAUUCCUGGUGUAGCGGUGAAAUGCGUAGAUAUCAGGAGGAACACCGGUGGCGAAGGCGGCUACCUGGACAGAAACUGACGCUGAGGCGCGAAAGCUAGGGGAGCAAACAGG